rnacentral:tRNA from 1 species
GCCGGCGAAUCAGAAGUCGGCACGAAUUCGCAUUCGUAAUGCGCGGGUCGUAGGUUCGAAUCCUAUUCCCGGCACCA